CUUCUGCUGCUGCGUGCUCGCCGCGGAGUUUCCCUUGCCGGCGACUCUCUGGCUCUGGCCAAGCGCUUAGACACACAGGCUGCAACGGGGGAUGAGGGGAACCUCUGGGGGCGUUUUCUGCCUUCAACACUGACUCCUAAAGAUCUCUUCACCUGACCAUGCAGGGCCCUUAGCCGGGCUGUCCCCUCUGUCAAGUGGUUUCUAAUCCAGAGACAGUGGCAGCAAUUGUCUGUGGGAGAAGAAGCCAUUUGGGAUGGAGAAAGUGGAAAACUUACAUUCUCUGAAUGCUCUUUCCUAUCUUUUACAGUUUGUACACCACACAUGCAUUACCUGUUACAAACAAACGGACGUUUCCCUUCCAAGAUGGCACAGGGCUCUGAAUAUCAAUAGAUAGGUGCUUUUCAGGUUGGAAUGUUUCCUAGAGUUAUUCAACACAAUAAGACGCAGAGUAUGAGUUGUUCCCUGCCUUUCAGCCCUUCCCUUUGGUCUCCUCUACAGGACUCAAAUGAUGUAAAUUGCCCCAUUCGUUCUAUUCCUUCAUUUAACUAAUACUAGUUGCACUAAUAUUAGUGUCAGGUACCGAGCCAACCUUAGGAUACAGCUAUCUCAGAGAAGUAUCUGCCCUGCUCUUGUUCCUUCCCAGAGCUACUUUCCUGGAGGGAGAGACAAGCAGGCAAUUAUAAUCAUGCUAUAGGAUAGGAUAGAAUGAGGUGUGGUGGCAGCCUAGAAGGGGACCCUGAAGUAGCACAUGGGGUUUUGGGGAAGGCUUCCAGGAGGAGCCAGUGUGUAAGCCAAGCCCUGAAGGCAGAAUCGGGGCUAGCCAGGUGAAUCUGAGAUGAGGGGUGACGAGGCUCCAGGCAGAGGGAACUUACCAUGGCUAAGACACAGACAGGACCAAGCAAGCAG
rnacentral:lncRNA from 1 species